rnacentral:rRNA from 1 species
GACGAACGCUGGCGGCAUGCCUAAUACAUGCAAGUCGAGCGAACAUUUAUAUAAUCUUGCUUCUAUAAAUGUUACCGGCGGAUGGGUGAGUCACACGUGAGCAACCUUCCAUGCAGAUGGGGAUAACUCCGGGAAACCGGGACUAAUACCGGAUAAUCAGUUUGUCCGCAUGGACAAACUCUAAAAGACGGCUUCGGCUGUCACUGCAGGUUUGGCCUGCGGCGCAUUAGCUAGUUGGUGGGAUAACGGCCUACCUAGCCAACGAUGCGUAGCCGACCUGGGAGGGUGAUAGGCCGCAUGGGGACUGAGACGCGGACAAGAGUCCUACGGGACGCAGCAGUAGGGAAUCGUACACAGUGGACGGAAGUCUGACGGAACAAGGGCAAGUGAGAGGAGGAGGUGUUCGGUGCGUAAAGACGGGUUGUGAGGGAAAAACAAGUUCGGCAGGAAAUGCACGGACCUUGACGGUACCUGAUGAGAAAGCAACGGCUAACUACGUG